UACGUAGGGUCCGAGCGUUGUCCGGAAUCAUUGGGCUUAAAGAGCGUGUAGGCGGCCAGAUAAGUCCGCUGUGAAAUCUCGAGGCUCAACUUCGAGCUGUCGGUGGAAACUGUCUGGCUAGAGUCCGGAAGAGGAGAAUGGAAUUCCUGGUGUAGCGGUGAAAUGCGCAGAUAUCAGGAAGAACACCCGUGGCGAAGGCGGUUCUCUGGGACGGUACUGACGCUGAGACGCGAAAGCGUGGGGAGCGAACAGG
rnacentral:rRNA from 1 species